UACGUAGGGUGCGAGCGUUAAUCGGAAUUACUGGGUGUAAAGGGCGUGUAGGUGGGUCUCUAAGUCGGUGGUGAAAUCCUGCAGCUUAACUGCAGAACUGCCAUUGAUACUGGAGGUCUUGAGUGCGGCAGAGGGAGAUGGAAUUCAUGGUGUAGCGGUGAAAUGUGUAGAUAUCAUGAAGAACACCGGUAGCGAAGGCGGUCUCCUGGUCCGCAACUGACACUGAGGCGCGAAAGCGUGGGGAGCAAACAGG
rnacentral:rRNA from 1 species